AGGAAAGUAGUUAACUAUAACACCUGGGUUGCAUUCAGGAGGUACUUUGAAGUCUUUCUUA
rnacentral:tRNA from 1 species